UACAGAGGGUGCAAGCGUUGUUCGGAAUUAUUGGGCGUAAAGGGUGCGUAGGCGGUCUGGUAAGUCUUGUGUGAAAUCUUCGGGCUCAACUCGAAGUCUGCACGAGAAACUGCCGGGCUUGAGUAUGGGAGAGGUGAGUGGAAUUCCCGGUGUAGCGGUGAAAUGCGUAGAGAUCGGGAGGAACACCUGUGGCGAAGGCGGCCGGCUGGGGGUGCCCUGACGCUGAGGCGCGAAAGCGUGGGGAGCGAACCGG
rnacentral:rRNA from 1 species